AUGGAUGCACUAUCUGUUGUCGAAUUGCUCUUAUGGCAGAUCGUUAGCUUCUCACCUGUUGGUCCAUCUCAUGAUUUUAUUUGCCCUACAAGGAACAGAGAAAUUUGCUUGGCCUGUCAGAGCGUAAUCAUGCUAGGGAGUUCAAUUUUGAGCCUCGCAUCAUGCAAUUUAGUUUCUAUGCACGUGAUCGCCAGUGAUGGGUUUCGACUUCAUGCCUUCUGCAUUUUUUUGCAAUUUUGCGUAAACUAUAGGGAAGAAAACGUGACAAACUUUUCAUUGUAUCAACGAAUAUGCAGUAUUCGCCGCGUCGUGUCGUGGCUGAAACCAACAUGGUACUUUGCCAGCCACGACGCCGCGCCAUCAGUUGCGGCGCCCGCCGGCGGGAGCGGCCCACGCCGGCCGGCAUCGUCAUCACGCAAUGUACAAAGCCCAAACAAAACGCCACGCUCGUUAGCUACCGCUCAGGCCAUUGGCGUCGGCGGCCGCCUCGAGCCUCCGCCACCGUGCGUCGCGCGCGGCGGCCCGGGCGUCCGCCUCGGCCCGGCUCGCGGCGAGGUCGGCGGAGCAGCGGUCGUAGAGGUCGGGCGCCACCUGCAGGAGCAGCGCCUUGACGCUGGCGGUGACCUGCUGCACGCACUUGCUCCAGUGGCGCUCCAGGUUGUCCUCGACGCUGGCCACGAAGGGCGGCAGGAUGCGCUCCAUGGCGCCGCCGGCCGACGCCAUCUCCAGGAACCGCUCGUUGUUCCACACGUACAGCGCCCGCUCCGCCACCUGCAAAUCAAAACACAUAAUUUUUUUCCUCGUUCAGCCCACCACUCAUCAUCAAAGCAGUCAAGUGAUGGUAGUAUUAUGAUUAGUGCUAAGGAUAGGGUAGGGCAAUUAUCCAUGGCUGGAUUACACGACAAGGAACGUUUGCUCCGGUCAAAUCAUCGCCUUUGCAAAGCCGUUUGCAAAGCUAGUAGUUGGUACUAA
rnacentral:rRNA from 1 species